AUUGAACGCUGGCGGCAUGCUUUACACAUGCAAGUCGAACGGUAACAGGCCGCAAGGUGCUGACGAGUGGCGAACGGGUGAGUAAUGCAUCGGAACGUGCCCAGUCGUGGGGGAUAACGCAGCGAAAGCUGCGCUAAUACCGCAUACGAUCUAUGGAUGAAAGCGGGGGACCGUAAGGCCUCGCGCGAUUGGAGCGGCCGAUGUCAGAGUAGGUAGUUGGUGGGGUAAAGGCCCACCAAGCCAACGAUCUGUAGCUGGUCUGAGAGGACGACCAGCCACACUGGGACUGAGACACGGCCCAGACUCCUACGGGAGGCAGCAGUGGGGAAUUUUGGACAAUGGGCGAAAGCCUGAUCCAGCAAUGCCGCGUGCAGGAUGAAGGCCUUCGGGUUGUAAACUGCUUUUGUACGGAACGAAAAGCCCUGGGUUAAUACCCUGGGGUCAUGACGGUACCGUAAGAAUAAGCACCGGCUAACUACGUGCCAGCCGCCGCCGUAACAC
rnacentral:rRNA from 1 species